rnacentral:rRNA from 1 species
AUUGAACGCUGGCGGCAUGCCUUACACAUGCAAGUCGAACGGUAGCGGGCCUUCGGGUGCCGACGAGUGGCGAACGGGUGAGUAAUGUAUCGGAACGUACCUUUCAGUGGGGGAUAACGUAGCGAAAGUUACGCUAAUACCGCAUAUUCUGUGCGCAGGAAAGCAGGGGAUCGCAAGACCUUGCGCUGAUUGAGCGGCCGAUAUCAGAUUAGCUAGUUGGUGAGGUAAAGGCUCACCAAGGCGACGAUCUGUAGCGGGUCUGAGAGGAUGAUCCGCCACACUGGAACGGAGACACGGUCCAGAGUCCUACGGGAGGCAGCAGUGGGGAAUUUUGGACAAUGGGGGCAACCCUGAUCCAGCCAUGCCGCGUGAGUGAAGAAGGCCUUCGGGUUGUAAAGCUCUUUCGGCCGGGAAGAAAUCGUAUCAGCUAAUACCUGGUGCGGAUGACGGUACCGGCAUAAGAGGCACCGGCUAACUACGUGCCAGCCGCCGCCGUAAUAC